ensembl:lncRNA
GUCCUGCUCGCAGCCUCUCUCUGACGGCCUCCGCCUCUGCUCCUGUCCUGGCCCAGCACUGUUGUCACUGUUGUCUACAAUGCGGCUCUGUUGAUACUGCCCUUGGACGCUUCAGAACCUCAGAGGUGGAGGGGACCUUAGGGGCCAUCUGGUCCAGCCCCUUGAUUUGUCACAAGAGGCAACCGAGUGCAGAGUGGCACGGGGACGUGGCCCUGUGAAGGCCUGGGUGUCUGGGUCCUGCCUCCCCCACCAUGGGGACAUGGGCCCCUCUCCCUUUGGAGGAGAUUGUGGGUGGAGGGCUGGGUGACAAGCCCAAGACUUAAAGGGAAACCAAGGCAAGAGAGGAGCCCGGAGGCGGUCCUGGAGGGGCCACUCCCGCUGCCCCGUGCUGGAAGGAUCACCAGCACCCGGGGGUGGAGCAGGGCCCAGGGAAGGGCCAUGGGAGCCGAGCCGCAGAGCUGGCAGGAGCCUGGGGGGUGCGCCCAAAGAGCCGAGCGGGCCCCUGUGCUCUGUCUCACAGUCACCUGCCCAGCCCCAACCCCAGCCCUGCACGGCCUCGAUGGUAAUUUGAUGAGUCACCCGCCCCCGCCUGCAGACAGGGCAGCCACACCCAGGGCAGCUGGCACCCCGGUGGUGUUUCUGCUCAGAGCUGCUGGGCCGGCAGCCUGCCAGGCCACGGCUGGGCACCGAUGAGGAGCCAGGACGCUAAGAAACCUGCUGAGUGGCAGAACUUGCCGUCUGCGUUGCCCCAUCUCCAUGCCAGGGCCUCCUUCGGACAGCCCGGCCCAGGUGCCUUCUUGGCAGGCCAGUAACAAGCAGUGGGCCUGGCAUCUCCCAGAUCUGUGCUCUGUGGGGCUCUGGGCUUCAGGCUGCUCCCACCGGCUGGGCCUAAGCAGGGAGCCAAGACGGUCAGGUGUGACCCCCUCUGGCUGGCAGGGCUGCUGCUCCAUCUCCGCCUGUCAGAUCCCAUCCUGGCCCAGGUCUAAUGCUCCCUCCUCCUGCACAGGCCCCCAGAUGCCCUGAGCUCCCCCAACCCUUAGGGUAAUUGUUCCUCUCUGCCACUUAGCACAUGGCGCUUCCCCCGGUGCACGGUGAGCUCUUGGCCUCACCUGCAGGCUUGCUCCAGGGCCCCGGGUAGCGCACUGACUGGGUGACUGCUCAUCCUGUCCAUCGACAUUCCAUCUGCAUGUUCUCUGACAACAUCCCUGAGACCAGACGCCCCCUUCGGCAUCUUUCUUCUCCCACCUCCCCCCACCCGCUUUUCAGGCCCUACCAUCACGCCAGAGGCCUCCACUUCAGGCCCUACUGGGCUGGGGCUGGACCUGGGCCCAUUUUGACAAAGAGGCUCAAGGAAUUGGGGGUUUCCAUGGCACCUUGACCCUCCAGCCAUCCCCUGUCUUGGCUGUCCACUGGCCGUGGCAGCUGCUGAGGGAGCAGGGCGGACAGGCCUGGGUCCUGGAGCGCUGGGGGAAACUGCUGACUUCCCUCCUUUCCAGCGGGGCCUCCAAACCCACUUUGCAUCUGCUAGUCCUGGCCCUUGGCAGCCCCUCCUGCUCCAAGGAAGACCCAGGUGGCCUCUAUCUUAGAUUCUGUCCCCCACCCCACUGUCUUGGAAACUGGUCAGCCAAGCAGGAAUCACUGGCAUUUGGCAGCAAGAAGGGUCAGCUCAGGACGCCCCCCGGCAACUUCUGAACCUCAGCAUAAGCCAGAGAUGCCUGCUGCACCGCUCUCAGCUCCAGCCCAGCUCCGGAACGCAGGCUGCGGUGAGGAGGGCGCUGGGCAGCGGGGCCACGGGACAGCAGACAGAAUCUGGAGGCCUCUUAGGAACCAGGGAACUCUGGAGACCCCAGAACUGUGGAAGGCAGGGCUGUGGUCCAGGACAAAGGGCUCUGCUCUUAGUGCUGUGAAGGGAAGUCGUGCCACGACCCUCGGAAGAGUGGGUGCCCUUUGGAUGGCUUGCUGGCGUGGGUGAUGCCUGCCUCCACUUCCUCCUUUGUGUGCGUAGAGGCAGGACAACGUUUCACAUCGACGUCGUUCUUUACAGUCUGCCAAGUAGUCUCCUGUCCUUUAUCUCUUGGGUUGUGCCCAUCAAUUCCCCGAGGGAAGUGCUCGCCCCGUUAUGACCCCUAUUGUAAGGACGGGGAGACUGAGGCUCAGAGAGGCUGUGUGACUUGCCCAAAGUCACCGCUGGUUAGUGGCAGAGCUGUCUCAGAGUUUCAUCCUACAAAUCCGAGUCAGGUGCUUCUCCUCCACACCACGUGCACACAAGACAUGUCUGGGGUGGAGAGAUGCUGGAAUGCACGGUCUUCGGGGUAUGCUGUGGCAGGGUGAAUGGUGGCCUCCCCCAAAAGAGGUAUGUCCAUGUUGUAACGCCCGGGACCUGUGAAUGUGCCCUCGUUCGGGAAAAGGGUCCUUGCAGGUGGAAUUAAGUGACAGAUCUCAAGAUGAGGUCAUCCUGGAUUUAGGGUGGGCCCUGAAUCCCAUGGCAAGUGUCCUUCCAGGAGACAGACAGGGGCAGAUUGGGGACACAGAAGACAAGGCCAUGUGAAGAUGGAGGGAGAGACGAUAGAGAUGCUGCCUCCAGCCCAGGAUGCUGGGAGCUGGAACGAGCAUGGGAUGGAUUCUCUCGCAGAGCCUCCGGAAGGAACCGCCUUGAUUCUGGAUCUCUGGCCUCCGGAACUGUGAGAGCAUAACUUUGUGUGGUUAAGACACCGAGUUCGUGGUCAUUUGUGUGGCCACCCUGGGAAACAGAGACUGUGACUCCAAAACUCUCCCAGUCACCUGGUAUGAGCUGUCAGCUGCUCAAUGAACCCACUUAGCACGUGGCCGGGGGGGGGUGUGAGAGCCGGGACGGGCCCGGGGGCCCCGGAAUGACACAGCCCCUCCGCGAUGGCACCACCCAAGGGCCAGCCGGCUCCCGCCCGGCCCCGGACAGCCAGCCUCUCACCCUCAGCCCCUCCUCCUUUGCCACCCUCCCUUUGGUUUGGUUUCGCUCCAGACCGAGAAAAGAAUGAUGCUCCAACAGCUCUGGGAAAGGUGACUCGGCCUUAGGAGACGUCACCCCUCCGGCAGGAGGCAUUUAUGGAGCCAGGUACGCCUCUGCCAGGAAGUCCGAGGGGCCCAGCAGCUAAUAACCGCCAGGCUCUCGGCCCUGGUGGGGCAUCAUUCCAUACUGCUCCACUUAAUGAAAUGUCCUUUGGAUUUGCCGUACCUUCUUGGAGGUGGUCAGAAGGGGGCUCAGCCAGCCUGCCCAGCUUAAGGAGCAGCGGGAGUCCGUGGAGCGGGAAGGACCAUCUCCAUCCUGUGGAUGACGACACUGAGCCCAGAGACGGAAAGUGGGGGAGGACACCGCAGACCAGGCACAAAGCAAGGGCAGAGCUCAAGUGCAGCUUGGAAGCUGACCAGCUGUGCCUGGACCCGGCCUCUGGGGCAGGCCCCCGAGGGGAGUGUGUCCCAGGAAGGACCUUGUGACUGUGCGUGAACCCAGCAGGGAGGGCCCUCAGAGCCGGGGUGUAAUGGCCUUCAGGCUGGACAGGAGGGACCUAGGAUCGGUGCCAUCCCUCGCCACGGCAGACAGCAUCCUGAGUGCCAGCGCCAGCCCCAGCUGCAGCGGGAGGUGUCUGCUUUCGGCCACAGGUCCCCCAUGGUGAUCCCCAGGCCCAAGAGAGGAGGAGCCACGAAGAUGGGAGAGCAGAGCAGGUCCUGGCAGUGAGUACGCCCACCCGAGUCCACAGGGCACGC